rnacentral:rRNA from 1 species
GAGGUGGGGAUGGCGGGGGCUUGGGGGGCCUACGGGAGGCAGCAGUGGGGAAUAUUGGACAAUGGGCGAAAGCGUGAUCCAGCCAUGCGCGUUGUGAAGAAGGUUUUCGGAAGUGAAGCACUUUAACUUGGGAGGAAGGGCAGUGGGUUGUGCACGGGGGGCCUACGGGAGGCAGCAGUAGGGAAUCUUCCGCAAUGGACGAAAGUCUGACGGAGCAACGCCGCGUGAGUGAUGAAGGCGUUGUGUUAGUAAAGAUAUGAUGUUAGGUAAGAACAACUCCACGGCCGCGGGGGGCGGCCGGACCUCCUAUUCCU